GACGAACCGUGCGAACGUUGUCCGGAAUCAUUGGGCGUAAAGCGCGCGUAGGCGGCCCGGUAAGUCCGUUGUGAAAGUCAAAGGCUCAACCUUUGAACGCCGAUGGAUACUGCCGGGCUAGAGUCCGGAAGAGGCGAGUGGAAUUCCUGGUGUAGCGGUGGAAUGCGCAGAUAUCAGGAGGAACACCAAUAGCGAAGGCAGCUCGCUGGGACGGUACUGACGCUGAGGCGCGAAAGCGUGGGGAGCGAACAGG
rnacentral:rRNA from 1 species